ACUCGARUGGCGAACGGGUGAGUAACACGUGGGUGAUCUGCCCUGCACUUCGGGAUAAGCCUGGGAAACUGGGUCUAAUACCGGAUAUACCUCAUGGAUCGCAUGGUUUGUGGGGGAAAGCUUUUGCGGUGUGGGAUGGGCCCGCGGCUAUCAGCUUGUUGGUGAGGUUAUGGCUUACCAAGGCGACGACGGGUAGCCGGCCUGAGAGGGUGACCGGCCACACUGGGACUGAGAUACGGCCCAGACUCCUACGGGAGGCAGCAGUGGGGAAUAUUGCACAAUGGGCGCAAGCCUGAUGCAGCGACGCCGCGUGAGGGAUGACGGCCUUCGGGUUGUAAACCUCUUUCAGCAGGGACGAAGCGAGAGUGACGGUACCUGUAGAAGAAGGACCGGCCAACUACGUGCCAGCAGCCGCGGUAAUACGUAGGGUCCGAGCGUUGUCCGGAAUUACUGGGCGUAAAGAGCUCGUAGGUGGU
rnacentral:rRNA from 1 species